AACACCAAACAUCUGCCAUUGCCGCCAUUUUUACUUUUUUUGUGGACUGAAAAUUUCAUUUUAAUAAUUAAUUAAUGGUUGUUGUUUUGAGUUUAUAACAAAUUUCUACGUUGCUUUUUAGUGCUCAACGUAUAACGACACUGCUUUGAUCACAUCGCGAUGAAGCGGGACGCGUACGGCGACGACGGCCCCGCCAUGAAGCGGCACCGCCAGCCGGAUGACGAAGUUACCUUCCUCAUACCUAGCAAGGUGGCUGGAUCUAUCAUCGGCAAAGGAGGCACCAACAUAUCAAAAUUGAGAAGCCAGUACAAAGCCUCUAUAACAGUCCCAGAUUGCCCCGGCCCCGAACGGGUACUCUCCAUAGCGGCACCGGAAGUGGAGACGAUAUUGGAUAUUGUGAAAGAUAUCCUUCCCAAUUUGGCUGAUGCUGGUGGACCGCAUAAGGGAGGAAACAGCGAUGAAGAUCUCGACGUCCGUCUACUGAUCCACCAGAGUCGAGCGGGUUGCGUGAUCGGCAAAGCUGGCGCCAAGAUAAAGGAAUUGCGAGAGAAAACUGGUGCUCGUCUGAAAAUAUUCUCAAACCCGGCGCCGCAGAGCACGGAGCGCGUGGUGCAGCUGGUCGGCGGGCCCGAGGCCGUCGCCGCCGCCGUGCGCGAGGUGCUCGACCUAGUGCGAGAGGUGCCCAUCAAAGGAGCUAUCCAAAAUUACGACCCCCACAACUACGAUGACUACUACGCUGAAGAAUACGGCGGCUUCGGCAACGGCCAGGGCGGGGGCCCACGCGGCGGCCCCGGGCGAGGCCCGCCCCGCGGCGGCCCCCCGCCGCGCGGCCUCCCGCCGCUGGGCCCCGGCCGCGGCCCGCCGCCGCCGCGCCCCGGCCCGCCCCUGGGCCGCAGCGGCCCGCCCGGCCCUCGCGGCGGCUUCAACGACUUCUCCGGCCCCGGCGGACCCGGAGGCCCGGGCCCUAGGGGCAACUUUAACGGCCCGCCUCGCGGCGGCAACUUCGCCGGCGGAAACUUUGGUGGGGGCGGCGGAGGCAACUUUGGCGGUCGCAGCGGCGGCGGUGGUGGUGGCGGCGGCGGCAACUUCGGUGGCGACAGCAACCAACAGGAGACCACUACUCAAGUCACCAUUCCCAAAGACUUGGCCGGGGCGAUAAUCGGCAAGGCGGGGUCGCGCAUCCGCAAGAUCCGCGCGGACUCGGGCGCCGGCAUUGAGAUCGCGGAGCCGCUGCCCGGCUCCAACGACCGCAUCAUCACCAUCACGGGCACGCCGGCGCGCAUACAGACCGCGCAGUAUCUCUUGCAGCAGAGGUGUGUCAACUAACGGGCGUCGUCUGCCGUGCGUUGUAUGGAAGACUAGUGAUUUUGUUGUUUGAUUCAGUAACAAAAAAUCACCAGUCUGCCUACAAAGUACCGGUGCUAUCUUCGGACCAAGAGCUUCUUCAUGCUGUCACUUGCUUUUAAUUCUACUAACGUGUUGUUCACGAAAGCAACCCGAGCCUGGGCGGCGGCCGAGGCAACUUCUGAUUGCAGUCUUCUCCUCCGUAAGAAGAGCAACUAUUGAAGCUUUACUGAACCACCUCAACACCAAUAAUGUACAAUAUAAGGCCGCGAGGCUCGCGUGACACUUGUCAGUAAUGUUAAAUGUAUUUACAGAGUGAAUUACAAUACAAUGAUUAAUGUAAGAGGAAUGCAUUUAUCGUAAUUUAUAUAUAUAAUAAAUUUUACUAAGAUCGUGUCAAUAAUUUGAUGGGAAUUUGUUACAUCGAUUGUAUUUUUAAGUAAAUAGAACUAGAAUUAAUAAAGUUUAUUUUGCAAA